AGGAGGAACAAGAUUGACCAAGUGGCAGUUCCUAAAGCUCCGGCUUGGUCUAACCAAAGCAACUUCAUCUGAUCAAAGGCCAGGCUAAGGUAUAGGUGGCUUGAUAAAAAUCGAAGGUGACAAAUUCUAGUGGUGUUUGAUAAGGGCCAGUCAUAACACAGUGAUGGUCUUUAGAAAGAAAAAGAAAAAGAAAUAGAUGGUUUACUAGCUGUUU
rnacentral:lncRNA from 1 species